UGGGGAAUUUUGGACAAUGGGCGAAAGCCUGAUCCAGCAAUGCCGCGUGUGUGAAGAGGGCCUUCGGGUUGUAAAGCACUUUUGUCCGGAAAGAAAUCCUUGGCUCUAAUACAGUCGGGGGAUGACGGUACCGGAAGAAUAAGCACCGGCUAACUACGUGCCAGCAGCCGCGGUAAUACGUAGGGUGCAAGCGUUAAUCGGAAUUACUGGGCGUAAAGCGUGCGCAGGCGGUUUGCUAAGACCGAUGUGAAAUCCCGGGCUCAACCUGGGAACUGCAUUGGUGACUGGGCAGGCUAGAGUAUGGCAAGAGGGGGGUAGAAUUCCACGUGUAGCAGUGAAAUGCGUAGAGAUGUGGAGGAAUACCGAUGGCGAAGGCAGCCCCCUGGGCCAAUACUGACGCUCAUGCACGAAAGCGUGGGGAGCAAACAGGAUUAGAUACCCUGGUAGUCCACGCCCUAAACGAUGUCAACUAGUUGUUGGGGAUUCAUUCCUUAGUAACGUAGCUAACGCGUGAAGUUGACCGCCU
rnacentral:rRNA from 1 species